CCAGCAAGUGGCUGAUCUAGGGGUUUGACCCCAGGCCUUUGUGACUCCAUAGUUCAUACUCCAUGACAUCACACAGCAUCUUAUUAUUGGAACUGCUCAUAGUGUCAAACAUGGCCUCAUACCCCAGCCCCUCACUUCUGCCAGGGGUGAGCUAGCCAUCUGCACCCUCCACAGUUGCCUGCUGAGGAAGGAAAGGAGUGGGAGGAAAAAGGAAGCAGAAUGACUCUCCCAGCUUCUGAGAAAACGCCAAGCUCUCCUGUGUGAUGACUCCACUCUUCAAGGGGGCUCUGCCAGCUCAGGGCAAGAGCAAAUUUAUUUCUUUUCAUGCUUUAAGAUGUUAUUGGCUGCAUAUUGUUUUAAUGCAGCACGUAAUUACAGAAACUGCUCUGAAAAUCUGUAUAUUUUAUCUGUGCUUUAUUAUACCCAGAAUAAUCCCCAAUUCUUUUUCUUCUACAUGAACCAGCUUAAAAUAUAUUUUGGCGUCCUUUAUGUCAUCUUGAAAUUGAAUAGCCAAUUCUUACUGUAAUGAAAAUACUUCUGCACCAGCCUGGUGAUAUACAACACUACACUCUAAUUACGGCUGUGCUUUAAUUAACCUGAAUUGAAGAGUGUUAUCAUUAAACUGCUGGUAACUUUGAGUUAUGGCUUUUCUUUAAUUUAAAGUAGAAAGCACAGAUAAUUAAGCCUCCAGAUAAUCAAAUGCUUGAGGAGAGCUUCAAUGUUUUGGGAGGUUCCUAAAUCUCAUUAAAUGUCCUUUCUUUAUUGAUUA